GAUGAACGCUGGCGGCGUGCCUAAUACAUGCAAGUCGAGCGAACGGACGAGAAGCUUGCUUCUCUGAUGUUAGCGGCGGACGGGUGAGUAACACGUGGAUAACCUACCUAUAAGACUGGGAUAACUUCGGGAAACCGGAGCUAAUACCGGAUAAUAUUUUGAACCGCAUGGUUCAAAAGUGAAAGACGGUCUUGCUGUCACUUAUAGAUGGAUCCGCGCUGCAUUAGCUAGUUGGUAAGGUAACGGCUUACCAAGGCAACGAUGCAUAGCCGACCUGAGAGGGUGAUCGGCCACACUGGAACUGAGACACGGUCCAGACUCCUACGGGAGGCAGCAGUAGGGAAUCUUCCGCAAUGGGCGAAAGCCUGACGGAGCAACGCCGCGUGAGUGAUGAAGGUCUUCGGAUCGUAAAACUCUGUUAUUAGGGAAGAACAUAUGUGUAAGUAACUGUGCACAUCUUGACGGUACCUAAUCAGAAAGCCACGGCUAACUACGUGCCAGCAGCCGCGGUAAUACGUAGGUGGCAAGCGUUAUCCGGAAUUAUUGGGCGUAAAGCGCGCGUAGGCGGUUUUUUAAGUCUGAUGUGAAAGCCCACGGCUCAACCGUGGAGGGCCAUUGGAAACUGGAAAACUUGAGUGCAGAAGAGGAAAGUGGAAUUCCAUGUGUAGCGGUGAAAUGCGCAGAGAUAUGGAGGAACACCAGUGGCGAAGGCGACUUUCUGGUCUGUAACUGACGCUGAUGUGCGAAAGCGUGGGGAUCAAACAGGAUUAGAUACCCUGGUAGUCCACGCCGUAAACGAUGAGUGCUAAGUGUUAGGGGGUUUCCGCCCCUUAGUGCUGCAGCUAACGCAUUAAGCACUCCGCCUGGGGAGUACGACCGCAAGGUUGAAACUCAAAGGAAUUGACGGGGACCCGCACAAGCGGUGGAGCAUGUGGUUUAAUUCGAAGCAACGCGAAGAACCUUACCAAAUCUUGACAUCCUUUGACAACUCUAGAGAUAGAGCCUUCCCCUUCGGGGGACAAAGUGACAGGUGGUGCAUGGUUGUCGUCAGCUCGUGUCGUGAGAUGUUGGGUUAAGUCCCGCAACGAGCGCAACCCUUAAGCUUAGUUGCCAUCAUUAAGUUGGGCACUCUAAGUUGACUGCCGGUGACAAACCGGAGGAAGGUGGGGAUGACGUCAAAUCACCAUGCCCCUUAUGAUUUGGGCUACACACGUGCUACAAUGGACAAUACAAAGGGCAGCGAAACCGCGAGGUCAAGCAAAUCCCAUAAAGUUGUUCUCAGUUCGGAUUGCAGUCUGCAACUCGACUACAUGAAGCUGGAAUCGCUAGUAAUCGUAGAUCAGCAUGCUACGGUGAAUACGUUCCCGGGUCU
rnacentral:rRNA from 1 species